rnacentral:tRNA from 1 species
UCUGUGGUGGCCCAGUGGCUAAAACUCUGUGCUUCCAAUGCAGGGGACCCAGGUUCCAUCCCUGGUCACAGAA